rnacentral:ncRNA from 1 species
GCUUUUUUCGCCCAAGCGGAUCUCGACCGCAAACCGAAGUGAUGGUGGACUUUAUCGAGCAGUACGUGAUGUGCACGGUGUCGAGCCAAUCUGCAAAGAACUGCCGAUUGCACC